CUUCGGGUGUGACUGCGUACCUUUUGUAUAAUGGGUCAGCGACUUUAUAUUCUGUAGCAAGGUUAACCGUAUAGGGGAGCCGCAGGGAAACCGAGUCUUUAACUGGGCGUUAAGUUGCAGGGUAUAGACCCGAAACCCGGUGAUCUAGCCAUGGGCAGGUUGAAGGUUGGGUAACACUAACUGGAGGACCGAACCGACUAAUGUUGAAAAAUUAGCGGAUGACUUGUGGCUGGGGGUGAAAGGCCAAUCAAACCGGGAGAUAGCUGGUUCUCCCCGAAAGCUAUUUAGGUAGCGCCUCGUGAAUUCAUCUUCGGGGGUAGAGCACUGUUUCGGCUAGGGGGUCAUCCCGACUUACCAACCCGAUGCAAACU
rnacentral:rRNA from 1 species